rnacentral:tRNA from 1 species
GGUGGCUCAGAGGUAGAGCGCUUGCCUCGCAUGCAUGAGGCUCUGGGUUCGAUUCCUCAGCACCA